UCGUCUGAACUGUAAUUUUCCUGGACACGUUUUGUUUUUACGUGUAUAGAUCAGGGCUUUGGUAGUGUGUUUUUGGGAUCUUUCAUGAUCAUGGAUGUUAUGGUAGUCAAUUGGGCUGGAGAACAGCUGAUAAUAUUGUACAAGGCCGAGUACUGUGUAACAAAAAUUACUUGGAGAAUGAGAUUCUGCGUCAAAAGACUCAAAACUGUACAGAUUUAUCAAAACAAAAUCAAAUGAAGCAGAAAUUGAAUCUCUCCGGGAGGAGUAUCAUCAAAGGGUGGCAACACUUGAAAGAAAGGUUUAUGCUCUCACUAAGGAAAGAGAUACACUACGUAGAGAGCAGAGUAAGAAAAUUGACGCUGCAGCUCUUUUGAAGGAAAAAGAUGAAAUAAUCACUCAGGUUAUGGCUGAAGGUGUGAACUUACUUAGAAGAUUGAAUUUGAUUUAAUACUUUUGAUCAGUUAGCGUUUCUCUGGUCAUGAAGGCUUUCCUGGUUUACAAGAAGUAUUGGUUGCUUUAUAUUGACAGGAAAUGUACAGUUAAUUUAGAUUCCAUGACAAAAAUGAAUAGCACGUUAGCAUCUUGAGGAAAGAAUACUACUGUGUGCGGUAGAUUGAGAAAGGCUUUACUUAGUUUUUUGAUAGGUGAAAGGCUUUACUUAGUUAAUAAUGUUUGAAUAGAUCCCUUUCAAUCUGGGAUACUUGGUGUAGUUGAUUAGUUACAUGCCUAAUACUUGCUUUGAUUUCCUAUCUCAAACAAUAUAUAAAUUAAAUGAGCAAAUGAAAAAAAGCUUAUUUAAUAACAAAUUGUUCAUUGUUGGUGGCUAAAAGCAUAAUAUGGACAACUUUCCAAUGGCAACAAUUAAAGUUUUUUGACAUGCCAAAAUUUUGAAUUGACUGCCUGAUUUUUUUGUGGGUUUAUUCUAAAUUUGGAACUUCUAUAGAAAAUCAUCUACCUAUGAAAUUUCUGAUGUUGCCUCAACACUUUUUACUUAAAUCAAUAACACCCUGAUUGGAACCACUUAAUGUUAUAACAUUUGGCAUCUUCAAAUGUAAUAAAUCCAUUUCUAAUUUGUUUUCUCA